rnacentral:rRNA from 1 species
CAGCAGCCGCGGUAAUACGAAGGGUGCAAGCGUUACUCGGAAUUACUGGGCGUAAGGCGUGUGUAGGUGGUUGUUUAAGUCUGUCGUGAAAGCCCUGGGCUCAACCUGGGAAUUGCGAUGGAUACUGGGCGACUAGAGUGCGGUAGAGGAUAGUGGAAUUUCCGGUGUAGCAGUGAAAUGCGUAGAGAUCGGAAGGAACAUCUGUGGCGAAGGCGACUAUCUGGGCCAACACUGACACUGAGACACGAAAGCGUGGGGAGCAAACAGGAUUAGAUACCCGAGUAGUCCCUGUCUCUUAUAC